ensembl:lncRNA
CUCGGGCGGCGGCAGGCUGCGGUCCCCGCGUUCAGCAGGGCAGUCAGAGGAGAUGGCGGCGGUCCCAGCACCUGCGCGCUGCUUUCUGAGCCGUCCUCAACGUCUCCGAGCAAAGGGCUUUCCCCCCCCAGGCCGCGGGCACGCAGCUGCGUUUCUGCUUCCAUACCCCUGCUAUGUGAACGUUAGGAAAGCGUUGUUUCCCCUUUCCCGUGCUGAAUGCCGCUGAGAGCCGCUGAACUAACGCAGUGGGAGGGCUGACACAAAAAUAACAUCUCUGGCGAUGUUUGCGUCACCUGCGUGCUGCUCCCCCGGCAAAUGCUCUGCUGGCAGAUGUGCUCACAUUGUGAGGGACGCAUCUUCCUCCUGGAAACAGCAGCCACCUGCGCUUGGUGCGGAUGGCCCAGGCUGAAUCCUUCUCAGCAGUGGUGGUGGACAUCUGCUCAGUGCUGCCGUGCUGUCCCUCCAGGCAUCCUGGAGCGAUGCGUUUGUACUGAGGUCUCCACAGGAUCACAGCAUGUCAGGGAUUGGAAGGGACCUCGAAAGAUCAUCCCACCCUGCACAGAACGUCUUAACAUUGCUGGCUUUAUGCGGUUGCUCUGAUAUUUACUGCAUUUUAUUUCUGUGUAAGCUUAAUCACGAUAAUCUGAAAAUAAAGUGGGAGGGAACAGAAAAAUACCUGGUUUCUGAACUGAAUUGUGUAUUCAGUUUAACAGUUUCACUGUUUACAAGGGUGGAUAGUGAGAGGACAAGGGGGAAUGGUCUUAAACUGACACAGGGGAGGUUUAGAUUAGACAUUAGGAGGAAGUUUUUCACACAGAGGGUGGUGAUACACUGGAACAUAAGAUAGUAGCUGUACGUUUUAACAAGUUGAAGGUCAGCAAAAAUAAGACUAGGCCUAAGUAGCAUAAAUUAAUGUCUUUUGGAAUUUUGCUGUCAUAUGAACAACAAGCAGUUUAGUUUGAGAGUGGGUUAUGAAUCCUUUGAAAGAAGCAUGUGGUGCAUGUGCAGUCAUAAGGUAAGUCCAGGCACUCAGAAGAGGGGCACUGCUUUUCUGUGUGCUUUUACAGUAUCUCAUGGCUUACUCUAUCAUGUAAUUUACAUUACAUAAUACUUAAUGAUCUCAGAAUACUAAUUCUAUGAAGAUACUGCUGUUUAUUGAGAUACAUGAUCCAGAGUGUUACUGAGGAUGAUAUCAGCUAAUUCCCACUGCCUUAUUUCUGACAAAAAUGAUUUUAGGAACCAUUUGUAUUUAAAACAAAACCAACCAAACAAAAAAAAAAACCCAGCUACUCCCAACUGUCUUGCUGGUUGUGCUUUGCAAUGUGUCCCUAUUGUAUUUAGUAAGCUAGUGUUUUGCAAAAUGAAGAUGACCAAAGGAGAGGAUCGAAGAAGAGCUCUGGGAGUUUAAAAGACUUUUGAAUUUUGCACUGUCAUUCCAGUCUUUCACUGUAUUCCCUCCAACAGCUUAAACAACUGCUGUAGAUGAACCAGUGUGAGGAGGUGGAGCCAGCGUUAGGAAGGCACGCUGCUUCAACAAAGCUGGAGGUAAGAACAACAGCAGGAGGGACACAGACCAGCCUUGCAAUCAGAGUGCUUACAGAGAGACAGAGGACAGAAGAAUUUUGGGUCUGAGCUUUGCCAGACAGAUCCUCACUUUGCAUUUUGAAUCUGACACCCCAGGGGCUUUAUAUUUUCCCUGUGUCCAUCUGCUGACAGGAGGAGUUUCAGCUAGUGUUUGGGCUUGCAUUUUAGGGCAUGUGGAGAAACAAAUUAGCAGGUUACAGCAAAAUGUGCCGUAACUGCAUCAGUAGUCAAGGGAAGAGCCACCGAUGUCAUCUAUCUGGACUUCAGUAAGACCUUUGACACAGUCCCCCAUAACAUCCUUCUCUCCAAAUUGGAAGGAUAUGGAUUUGACAAGUGGACUGUUCAGUGGAUGAAAAACUGGUUACAAGAUUGUACCCAGAGAGUUGUGUUCAGUGGUUCGAUGUCUGGAUGGAGACCAGUGGCAAGUGGUGUCCCUCAGGAGUCAGUACUGGGACUAGUGCUCUUUAACAUCUUCAUCAAUGGCAUCAACAGUGGGAUCGAGUGUACUCUCAGCAAGGCUAUAGAUGAUACCAAGCUGUGUGAUGCAGUUGACACAUUCAAGGAACAGGAUGCCAGCCGGAGAAACCUAUGUAAGCCCAAGCAGUGGGCCCAGGUGAACCUCAUGAGGUUCAAUAAAUUGAAGUGCAAGGUCUUGCACCUGCAUUAUGGCAAAUCCUACUAUGGGAACAAGCUGGGGGAUAUAAGGAUGGUGCACAACUCUGCCAAAAAGGACUUGAGGUGGAUGGCAAGCUGGACAUAAGCCAGCAAUGUACCCUUGCAGCGCAGAAAGCCAACCAUAUCCUGAGCUGCAUGUACAAUAAACAAAUGUACAGUUGGAAGAAUAGCACAGUUAGGAUGGUACUUCACAGGUGUAUAGUUGGAAAGAUUAUCAUGGUGGAAAAGAGACAGUCAAAGAAGAAACGCUCACCCAUAUCCAAGAAUCCAGGCUCACAGUGGAAAACUCCAAAAAGGAGAGAUCUCCAGAAAGAGAUCCUUCCCCAGUGGAAGUCAGCCCUUAAAUUGAGUCUAGGAGAGGUGGAGCCAGGCUCCACCCCUUCCAGUCACUCAGGUGAAUUGCCUUCACUUGUGCUCCCACAGCUGACUCAGUCCUUUCCUCAGGUGCUCAAUCAGUGUUUCAGGCCGAACAGUUCCCAUCCACUCCACCCCUUCAUAGCAUGAACCAAUAAUCGAGCAAGCUAGAGGGUGAGCCUUCCCUAAUAAAGAUCCAGAGACACCACGAUGCUUAUACAAUUGCCUGUCGCCAUGCAGGUUGACACAAUUUAAGACGACUGAUGAUCAAUGUGUGGUUGAGGUUCAUGUUCUUUCAUGGGCCAGUGCUCGGUGGUGUUACUGGAAGUAUGCCAUCAUGUCGUGUAGGUCCAUCCUAUGUCACAUCAGUCCCACAUAGGCCAUCACCGGGUGUCGUGCUUGAUCUCACAGCAGCACUGGAACACUUCAAUGGUAUUUCGCUCCUUCUGUGAUCCUAGAGAUUCAAAUACUCACAGAGAGUAAUACAGAUGUUUCAGGGGUACCAGGAGGGGAAGAUCUGCCCUCCAGGGCAAGAUACAGGCCAUAUUCCUAUCCUGGGUCAACACUUCAGCUUGUACUGGGGCAUGCCCCAGCCGCCUCUACCAAACUCUUCGGCCAGAUGUCUGCAGCUGCAUAACUGUAUCAAAGGGGGUGUCCUGAUCUGACAUAGGGACAUGAUGGGGGGGUCCCUUUAGCAACGAAGAUUGGAGUGUUGACCACAAUAUCCAUAGGCCAUGUACCCAUUACCGGAGGGACUACCGAGCUUCCCACCUCCAGUAAUCUCCUCCAAGGUAGGAGGAGAUUGUGCAAGAAGGGCACACCACUUCGGUCCUACCUGUACCUACCAAGGCCAUUUUACUCUAUGGGUACCUGGUUCUAAAUUCUCAGGGGUAGGGACCAGAAGGUUAUUUUCAUUGCCAAUCUGGGGUUUUACCCAAUUAUCAGUGCCUGUAAUUUGGAUCCUAAGCGGGGAGGCCCAUGUUGUCUGUAGCAUUUUCAGGGCACUGGGUCUGCCAUCUUUAGGUCUUUCGUUCAGGUCCCACAGGGUUUCAUAGAGUCCCUUUGUCCACCCGUGCAGGGACUGUGAAUCUCUCUUCAGGGCAGCCUUAUGAAUACCGUUACGAUGUUCAAUGAGUCCUGCCCCUGUUGGAUUAUAUGGCAGGUGGAAUCACCAUCCAGUGUUGUUUUCUUCUGCCCAGUGUUGUAUCACGGUACCAGUAAAAUGAGUUCCUUGGUCACUCUCGAUGACUUGAGGUGUCCUGGAGGCAGACAGGAGCUCAGUAAGUGCUUGAUGGUAUAUGCCUGGUUUGCUCUUGGCACUGGAUAGGUCUGCAGUAGCCCACUUGCGGUAUCGAUGCAGGUCAGGGCAUAUCUCACCCCCUCAUACUGAGGGAGGGGCCCAAUAUAAUUGACCUGUCAUCGCUGGAGAGGAUUGUGUCCUCUAGCAAGAUGGGCUGUUGUUGCGGGCAGCAAUCUCAGUCUCAUCUUGGAGCAAGCGUCACAGUCUCAGCAUGCCUGGGUGAUGUCAGAUAGUUGCAUGGGCAGCUCCCAUGCUUUAGCAGCUGCCCAUAUUGUCUUUUGUCCAGCAUGCCAUAGCUUCUGAUGUAAUCAAUGGGUGAUGUUCUCAGAUGGUGAAUCCUCAGUCCAUCAAACUUGGGUUGGUGUGUCCGCUUCGUCAUUUCCUGGUGAUUGUAAAGGUUGAUGACCAGAAACAUGUUAGACACAUACAGUCCUGUGUUUAACUGCAUUCCAUAUGUCUAACCACAUAUCUCUGCCCAAGAUUGGUUGGGCAUGGAUAGUCCAUUCUUGGGUGGCCCACUGUGCAAUCCAAAGAGUGAGCCCCCAGUACACGGCCCAACUAUCUGUGCAGAUAUUCAGGACACUAUCACCAGAUUCCUUAGUUAUAACCAUCCACACGGCUUGCAGUUAUGCCCAUUGGCUGCUCUGACCAUCCGUCUCUUCAAACCAGACUGUCUCAGUGGAGGGAUGGUAUGCUACUGCUCUCCACUAACUCAGGUUGCUCUUGCUGGACCCAUCUGUGUGCCAGGCAUCUUCAGGAAUGGGAUAUUUCCCCUCCUGAAUGGGACUCUUCUCUGGUGGAGCAACCAAUGUGUCUUUUGGUGCCUCACUGUGAUAUGUCACUGGGCCUACAAUCUUCUGGAGUUCUUUCAGUGGUGAUGAAGAUAGACUAUUCCUCUGGCUAAGAUAGGCGACCCAUCACACCACCAUUUAUGCUUGGCCACCCUCGUCUUAGGAAUGUGAGUCAGAUCUUUCAUCCACCCCUGAAUUGGCAGGGUGUUCUUAACUAUGGAUUUGUCAAUAAUCCUCACCCCAAGUUUUGGGGGAUGAUUUUGAAAUUUUUGAUCGUCCUUCAACUGCCUCCAUAGCUGGAGGAGGACAUGAUUGGGCUGGUGAUCAAUUUUCGCAAAUUGAACCCCAGCCCGGAUUAAGCCAUUAAACAUUUGUUAUCAGGAUACCCGUAUGGGUCCUGAUUGAGGAGUUCAUAGGGUGGGUCUCCUGGUUUUAGUUACUAGAAGGACCUCUGCCCCUUCCAAUGUUCAGAUACUGCACCUGGUCCAAAGGCGCUCUGUCUCCCCUAGAUCGGCUACCAGCUGGGCAGCCUGUUGAACCACGGACUCUGAGGCUACUAGGGAGUUUAGUAUGGAAACUAGAGUUCCAUACAGAUGGGAAGGAGCCUGUUGCAGGAUCAGGUCUCUCAUGCCUAUUGAGAAUUUUACCAGGUGUGGGCUUUGAAAUGCGUCUUUGUAUAUCACCUCUCUUAUACUCAGUUCGUGAAUAUAGUUUUGAAGGUCUUCUGUGAAGGACCAUAAACCUGUGUGUAAUAGUAUGUCAGAUUUAUUGGCCAAACCAUAUGGCAUGCUGCCAUCAACCAAUCUAUUAUCGAGUGAUUCUUGUUGGUAUACUGGACAGCAGCAUAUAGCCCCUAAGGGCAGGGUGAACAGUAAUGGAUGCCAAUUUACAGAUUUCUGACCCACUGACCGUAACACUUUCCAUCCAUGAAUUCCAUCAUCGGAGAAGCCAGGCUGGUACGCUUUCUCUGGGCUUCCGUCUGAAUCACUGUACCAAGUCCAUUAAUUCCAUGGCCAUAUAAGGACAGGCUAUUACAUGUAAAUGUAUUUGGGCAGGGGGCCACUGAUCAGGGGGCACCCCUGCUGAUCUAUCUUGUAUUUUUUUGUUGUUGUUGUUGUUUGAGUUACUAUAGGACAGAUCUCAAAGGAAUCCAUUGCAGAUAGAGCUUUGAGAUCUGAUUUGGAAGCUUUGUCUUCUGGAUCCACUAGGUUAAUCAAUUCAGGAACCUGCGUAUCAUCUACUGCAAUGUUAUGGACCUGUUUUAUUGGGAAAUUUAGGCUGGAUUUUUUCCCCGUCAGUAUACCAAGUUGUUGUUCGAGUUUUUCAAUCUGAUCUCAUAACAGUAGAUUUUCACUUUCUAAAGUAUUGGUUGUCAUUUCAGCCUGAUUUAAAGCAAUUAAUAGUGGCCAUGCCACAGUAGAAGCAGCUAGCUGAUGUUCUUUUGUAACUAAUAUCCCUUCGCUCAAUCCAUGAGAAUAAUCUGCCAUGUGGGUUGGGGAAGGAGUAUUUCCUGUAACCUGCAGGGGACUCCAUUUUUCAAUUAUAGUCACCAGUUCAUAGUAAGGUGAUCCCAGAAAUCCUCAGAUCUGUCUGGGGAUUGUUUUGUCUAGGAGGAGGUAAUGUUCUCCCCCGCUGAACAAUUUAAAGAUAUUCUGAAGGAAAUACUUUUUUUUUUUUUGGCCUUCCUGGCUCACCAAAUGUAUAUUUGGAAGAGUAGUGCAGUGAGGAUGGUACUUUACAGGUGUUACAGUUGGAAAAAGUAUCAUGGUAGAAAAGAGACAAUCAAAGAAGAAAUGCUCACCUGUAUCCAAGGAUCUAGGCUCACAAUAAAAAACUCCAAAUGGAGCAAUCUCCAGAAAGAGAUCCUUCCCCCAGUCAGCCCUUAAGUGGGGUCUAGGAGAGGUGGAGCCAGGCUCCACCCCUCCUGGUCACACAGCUGAAUUGCCUUCACCUGUGCUCCCGCAGCUGACUCAGUCCUUUCCUAAGGUGAUCAAUCAGAGGUUCAGGAUGUGAUUCAGUUGUUCCCAUACAGUUGCAUCAAAGGAAGCAUGAUCAGCAGGUUGAGGGAGGUGAUCCUGCUCCUCUACUCUGUGUUGGUGAGGCCUCUGUAUUAUGUCCAGAUGUGGGAUCCUCAGGACAGACAUAGACCUGUUGGAGCGCAUCCAGAGGAGGGCCAAAAAAAUGAUCCAAGCAAUGAAACACCUUCCCUGUGAGAAUGGGCUGAGAGAGCUGGGGCUGUUCAGUCUGGAGAAGAGAAGGCUCUGAGGAGACUUGAUAAUGGCCUUUCAGUGUCUAAAAAGGGGCUAUAAGAAAGAAAAGGGCAGACUCUUUAGCAGGGUUUGUCGCGACAGGACAAAGGAAAAUGGUUUUAAAAUAAAGGAGAGAAAAUUCAGAUUGGAUAUAAGGAAAAAAUUUUACAAUAAGAAUGUUGAGGCAUUGGAACAGAUCACUCAGAGAGGUGGUAGAAGUCCUGUUCCUGGAGACAUUCAAAAUCAGGCUGGACCAGGCUCUGAGAAACCUGAUCUAGCUGUGGGUGUCCCUGUUCAUUGCAGGGAAGCUGGACUAGAUGUAGAAUGAUAUAAUCAAAAGAUUAUAUGAUUCUAUAAGUCAAUGAAGAUAAGGAGGGAUUUGUAAAGUAAGUUUCAAAAAAAUCACAGUGUUUUGUAGAAUCAUGGUAGUUAAUAGUGUGAGGCAUUUAGAGAACUAUGGUUGCGAGCAUCUCGGAAAUACAAAAUAGCAUUCCAUAGGAAAUGCAGGGAAAAAAAAUGAAAAUUUGAAGCUAGCUCCACCCUGCAACAAUUUAAAACAUAGUUGAAUAUUUAAAAAAAAAGUUUAGGCCUAGACUGUUAUUUCUGUUAUAAAAGUCAAAUCUUUGGAGAUGGAGAUGAUUAAUAAAUACACAAAAAUACAUUGUCUUUAAUAGACAAAAGCAAUACAUUGUUUUGAAAGAAUGUAAAAAAAACAAACAGCAUAAUCAAAAUGCUUUUAAAUUAGGGCUUUUCUUUCACCUUUCUUACUUUUUCUUUCCUUUCUCCCCCCCCCCCUUUCUUCCCUUCUUUCUUUGUCUUUUUUUCAGAAGGAAAUUUCUUUAUCCUGAGAGUCUGACAUAGAAAGUUUUGUGUUUUUUUUUUUUACAAAGUUUUUUUUUUUUUAAUUGGAAGAUUUUCAACUGAUUCUACCCAGAAGGAAGUUAAUAAAUUUUCAGGGAAGUGCUUAUGUAUUGUGCCAUAAAUAAAGCUUGGGGGUAGAAUCUGAACUGUAAGUAUUGAACAAAUAACUGCUUAUUAAUUUUAAAGCAACCAUCUGAUGCAUUGAAUGGGGCACAAUUCUUUGGACAAAACAACGAACCUAUCCAUAAUUCUGAGAAGUGAACAACAUAAACACUGCAGAAUUAAUGACAGAAGUUUCUAACUUAUAAGAGCUUUUUUUUUCCAUAACCUUAAAAUUAUUUUAAUAUUUUAAUUUAGGUCUUCUGCAUACACAUACAUGUAGGUCCUCUGGAAAGUGAUGCCUUCUAUUUAUUUCCAGAGUCCCAGGUGAACCUCAUGAAGUUCAACAAAUCCAAGUGCAAGGUCUUGCACAUGGGUCAUAGCAACCCCUGAUAUAAGUACAAGUUGGGGGAUGAAAGGAUAGAGUACAGCUCUGUUGAAAAUGACUUGGGAUAACAGUGGAGUCAUGGAAUUGCUCAGGUUGGAAAAGACCUUAAAGAUCAUCAAGUCCAACCACAACCUAACCAUACUACCUUAACUCUAACAACCCACUGCUAAAUCAUGUCCCUGAGCACCACAUCCAAAUGGGUUUUAAACGCAUCCAGGGAUGGUGACUUAACCACCCGGGGAGCCUAUUCCAGUGCUUAACAACCCUUUCUGUAAAGAAGUUUCUCCUGAUACGCAACCCAAACUUACCCUGGCACAACCCAGUCCUCAGUACAGGAGAGACAGGGACCUGUUGGAGCACAUCCAGAGGAGUUACCCACAGCACUCACUGCUUCUUCCUGCAUGACACAGGGUCCAUCAGCUCCAUUGUUUUUCUUGAAGCCAUGCACCCAGCUCCUUCUCAGCUUGGAGAACGCUAAAUCUGGAGUGACCAGUUUACAGCCUUCAUCUUCUACAGACUUUUGAUUUAAGGCUUCACAUGGCACAGAGCUCACCUGCAUCUCCACUGCAACAGGAAGUUAAGAUCCCUGGAGCUGUAGGGCUCUGAUAGUACCUAUCCAUCUCUCACUCAUCUACUUGAGUGCUCUGCAGACUGCUUACUUCCUCCUGUAACUUCUUUACCUGCCAACAUAACUCACCAACAACAGCAACACACCUUCUGUAGAAGAGAUGGCUCUCAGCCUCGACAGAGUGGCCCCAGGUGCUCCCUGCAACCUGAGAGCUGCAGAGCUUCCUCACUGUUUAGGUGGGAACUUCUGCCAUAUCUGACACAGCAACUCCAACAGCUGCUGGAGAAUGAGCUUCACAUUGUGUCAAAAAACCUAAGGGACUGUAUGCCGGUAAGACUGAAUGAGACCUUCUUGUGCCCUUCUGCACAAACUGCUAUACAAAAUGCUGAGUCUGUUCACUGCACUCAGGUGGUCACAGAAUGGUCCCCAGUUACUGGGUUAUGUGUACCUCAAGUCUCUCACCAGACCAGCAGAACAGCCUCCUUCAGAGAUGUGGCCUCCCUGUGAGUCCUGCCAUGUGGAGACAUGGGACACAAAUCCACAGGAAACCAGGCUUUGUUAGCUCUGUACUUCUGAAACAGCAUGUUGCCUGUCUACUUAAGGCCACUGCACAGCCAAAGAUGUAUGGGAAAGGAAACUGGAAUUUUAUUCCCUGAUAUACCAUAUUUAUCUGCCUUCCUUCUAUUCUGCUAUUCAUAAUGGCUUCUUACCAGUUGUCUGAACUUGAAAGUACUCAUCUCUAGUUCCCAAGAUUACCCUUAGACAUCUUUGAAAUAAAUAUUAUCCCACAUAAGCAAAGACAUUUCCUGUCUCAGUUGGAAACAGAUGUCCACCAUUCAUUUCUAGAGUGAAGGAGGAUAUAAGUGCAUGUAUUGAGAAGCGUUAUUUAAAUUUUAAUAUUGUUUACAAAUCUGAGUUUACAAUCAACUCAGCAAAAGCAGAUCCAUUAAAAAUAAAUAAACAAAAACCCAACAUGACUGUACGUGGCAUGGCGAGAAGAAGAGUAUGGAUUUGGAUAUUUACCACAUUAAUGUGUAAUCACAAAGCACAUUGUGAUGAAGGAUACCUUUCUGUAUGUUGCUUCUAAGAGGCAUCGUGGAGGAGAAAGUUAAUAAAAAAUUCAAUUAAAGUGUUGUGCAGCAGUAAUAGUCUCAAAACAAUGUAUUUUGAGGAGUCCCAUAUGAAUAUUUUACAUAUAAUUCACCUAUUGGUGGUCAUAUCUUUUCAUAAAGUGGUUUCGUAAAGUCUUGUAUGCAUUUUACUUGUGUUUUAUAUAUGGUUAGUAUGCUUAGCUAGUUCUAACACCUCAUUAUUCUGAUAAUUACAAUAGAUUUAGGAGUGAUA